rnacentral:rRNA from 1 species
GAUGAACGCUAGCUACAGGCUUAACACAUGCAAGUCGCGGGGCAGCAUGGGGGUUGCUUGCAAUCCCCGAUGGCGACCGGCGCACGGGUGAGUAACGCGUAUCCAACCUGCCCUUCACCACGGGAUAACCCGGCGAAAGUCGGACUAAUACCGUAUGUUGUUCAUUGACGGCAUCCGAUUUGGACGAAAGGCUUGGCGGUGAGGGAUGGGGAUGCGUCCGAUUAGCCAGACGGCGGGGUAACGGCCCACCGUGGCUACGAUCGGUAGGGGUUCUGAGAGGAAGGUCCCCCACACUGGAACUGAGACACGGUCCAGACUCCUACGGGAGGCAGCAGUGAGGAAUAUUGGUCAAUGGGCGUAAGCCUGAACCAGCCAAGUAGCGUGCAGGAUGACGGCCCUAUGGGUUGUAAACUGCUUUUAUGCGGGGAUAAAGUGGCCCACGUGUGGGCUUUUGCAGGUACCGCAUGAAUAAGGACCGGCUAAUUCCGUG